rnacentral:rRNA from 1 species
ACACAUGCAAGUCGAGCGGCAGCGGAAAGUAGCUUGCUACUUUGCCGGCGAGCGGCGGACGGGUGAGUAAUGUCUGGGAAACUGCCUGAUGGAGGGGGAUAACUACUGGAAACGGUAGCUAAAACCGCAUAACGUCGCAAGACCAAAGAGGGGGACCUUCGGGCCUCUUGCCAUCAGAUGUGCCCAGAUGGGAUUAGCUAGUAGGUGGGGUAACGGCUCACCUAGGCGACGAUCCCUAGCUGGUCUGAGAGGAUGACCAGCCACACUGGAACUGAGACACGGUCCAGACUCCUACGGGAGGCAGCAGUGGGGAAUAUUGCACAAUGGGCGCAAGCCUGAUGCAGCCAUGCCGCGUGUAUGAAGAAGGCCUUCGGGUUGUAAAGUACUUUCAGCGGGGAGGAAGGCGAUAAGGUUAAUAACCUUGUCGAUUGACGUUACCCGCAGAAGAAGCACCGGCUAACUCCGUGCCAGCAGCCGCGGUAAUACGGAGGGUGCAAGCGUUAAUCGGAAUUACUGGGCGUAAAGCGCACGCAGGCGGUCUGUCAAGUCGGAUGUGAAAUCCCCGGGCUCAACCUGGGAAC